rnacentral:rRNA from 1 species
GUGGGGAAUCUUCCGCAAUGGACGAAAGUCUGACGGAGCAACGCCGCGUGAGUGAUGAAGGUCUUCGGAUUGUAAAGCUCUGUUAAUCGGGACGAAAGAGCCUAGUGUGAAUAAUGCUAGGAAGUGACGGUACCGGAAUAGAAAGCCACGGCUAACUACGUGCCAGCAGCCGCGGUAAUACGUAGGUGGCAAGCGUUGUCCGGAAUUAUUGGGCGUAAAGCGCGCGCAGGCGGAUCUGCCAGUCUGUCUUAAAAGUUCGGGGCUUAACCCCGUGAUGGGAUGGAAACUACAGAUCUAGAGUAUCGGAGAGGAAAGUGGAAUUCCUAGUGUAGCGGUGAAAUGCGUAGAUAUUAGGAAGAACACCAGUGGCGAAGGCGGAUUACUGGACGAUAACUGACGCUGAGGCGCGAAAGCGUGGGGAGCAAACAGGAUUAGAAACCCUGGUAGUCC